CAAUACCCCCUGCAGUCGAAAGUCCCUAUAAGUUUUCUGGAGGGAGAAGAGAGAAUUUGCUCAGGAGUUGGAAUGUGCCUGUUGAUCCGCUCAUUUAACAUGCCUACCCUCUACUGGCAACCUUCUAGGAAAAACAGACCAUUAUAAGUGAAUGACAGAAUGGAUGAAAAGAAAGAGCCUUCAUCAUACCUUGACAGCUUCGACAGCACCCCUUCCAACACUGAAACAAACUACAAUGUAGUUUAUGCUUUGUUUCAACUGGCUCUAAAACAGACCACGCACAUCUACACAAAGGAUGGACAGCACCUGAUGGAAUGUGUUUAUUCACAUCUUAUUCUGCAGAUCCUCUAAGACAGCUCAUCCAGAUGUUGGUGAGGAAACGGAGCCACAGAGAGCCUGCCCAAGACAGACAGCUGCUGGUAGAGUCAGAAUCCAGGCAUGAAGAGGAGCUUUUAUCUAAAAUUUCACAAUGCUUCUCAUUCACACAUAUUCAUAUAUUUAUAUAUGAAUGUUAUAUAUAUAUCUGUGAAUAUUUUAUAU